CAUUUUUAACCCGCAAAAUCACGCGAUCGGAAAGUAUAAAAGCAGAUGUGCUGAAGGCAUUCAACAUCAGUGCUGAAAGCAAAACGAUACCAAGCAACAAUUCGAACGAAAAUGGAUGCCGAUAAACAAGCAAAGAACCGCACAGACCAGUGCAACCCGGACCAUAAACCGACUGGGCCAGGUCACGAUGCCGCUUACAAAGGCGAUGGUUCCCAAAAAGAUCGCGACAAUCAUGGAAAUCAGUUGAAUCCCAACAACAAAGAAUUCAAGGGCAAAAAAUAAAAUGUGACCAAAUGUAAAACACUGAAAAUGCACUCAAGUGUUACUUUCAUCAGAAUUUUGUUUCUUGAAUAAAAUUCAGCAAAAUCAAUAGAAAUUUUGUGUGUGUGUCUUUCCUUCGUGUAAAUUGAAAUUCAUUUUUAAAAUUAUAGUCAAUUUUCAGUUAAUUUGUGAUAAAUCAGCUGAUUGUUCUGGAAAAUCAAGGUAAUGCAUUGUGUGACUGAUUCACUUGAGUGAUCAACU